AUUGAACGCUGGCGGCAGGCUUAACACAUGCAAGUCGAGCGGUAACAGGGAGAAGCUUGCUUCUCUGCUGACGAGCGGCGGACGGGUGAGUAAUGCCUGGGGAAUCUGCCUGGUAGUGGGGGAUAACUUGCCGAAAGGUAAGCUAAUACCGCGUACGCCCCAUGGGGGAAAGCAGGGGAUCUUCGGACCUUGCGCUAUCAGAUGAGCCCAGGCCGGAUUAGCUUAGUUGGUGGGGUAAAGGCCUACCAAGGCGACGAUCCGUAACUGGUCUGAGAGGAUGAUCAGCCACACCGGGACUGAGACACGGCCCGGACUCCUACGGGAGGCAGCAGUGGGGAAUAUUGGACAAUGGGGGGAACCCUGAUCCAGCCAUGCCGCGUGUGUGAAGAAGUCUUCGGAUUGUAAAGCCACUUUAAGUUGGGAGGAAGGCUCUUGGUUAAUACCCGAGAGUUUGACGUUACCACCAGAAAAACCCCGGCUAACUUCGUGCCAGCAGCCGCGGUAAUACAAANGGUGCGAGCGUUAAUCGGAUUACUGGGCGUAAAGCGCGCGUAAGGAGGUUGUUUAAUUGGAAA
rnacentral:rRNA from 1 species